GUCGAGGGGCAGCGGGAUUGAAGCUUGCUUCAAUUGCCGGCGACCGGCGCACGGGUGAGUAACGCGUAUCCAACCUUCCGUACACUCAGGGAUAGCCUUUCGAAAGAAAGAUUAAUACCUGAUGGUAUGAUGAGAUUGCAUGAUAGCAUCAUUAAAGAUUCAUCGGUGUACGAUGGGGAUGCGUUCCAUUAGGUAGUAGGCGGGGUAACGGCCCACCUAGCCUACGAUGGAUAGGGGUUCUGAGAGGAAGGUCCCCCACAUUGGAACUGAGACACGGUCCAAACUCCUACGGGAGGCAGCAGUGAGGAAUAUUGGUCAAUGGACGAGAGUCUGAACCAGCCAAGUAGCGUGAAGGAUGAAGGUCCUACGGAUUGUAAACUUCUUUUAUAAGGGAAUAAAACCUCCCACGUGUGGGAGCUUGUAUGUACCUUAUGAAUAAGCAUCGGCUAACUCCGUGCCAGCAGCCGCGGUAAUACGGAGGAUGCGAGCGUUAUCCGGAUUUAUUGGGUUUAAAGGGAGCGCUGACGGGUCGUUAAGUCAGCUGUGAAAGUUUGGGGCUCAACCUUAAAAUUGCAGUUGAUGCUGGCGUCCUUGAGUGCGGUUGAGGUGUGCGGAAUUCGUGGUGUAGCGGUGAAAUGCUUAGAUAUCACGAAGAACUCCGAUUGCGAAGGCAGCACACUAAGCCGUAACUGACGUUC
rnacentral:rRNA from 1 species